ACACCACUUGAAGAUAAGCCCGUUCCUCUCUCUGGUAUAUUCUUUGCUUAAUAAAUCUUGUGGGGUGGUUAUUUGUGUGUCUCAUCCAAUUCUUUGUUCAUAACACCAAGAACCUGGAACUCCCAACUUCCAAUCUGGUAACAUAUUUUGGUGAGCCAGCCAGGAGGGUCAAGCCUGCAAUACCUAAAGCUCCAGACCUGGAACCCAAAGCUCCCAUCAGUCGCUACCCUGUGAACCUGUGGAGGAUCUGAAGUACCUGUUUAAAAGGCAUCCAAAAGAUAGAAUCUAUCAAGCUACAAAUGGCUAUGUUGCCUGAAGCCCCAGACAUCAUCCUACAAGAAAUAAGUCCAGACUUCUUAAUUUCCCCCUGGAUAGAGCAGGGUGAUACUGUGGCCUGGGUGAAGACAUCGUAUCCUCUGUGUGUAACAGUGAUAAGAAGGCUUACCUCGCAGGGUUAUUACAAGACAAAUGAAAUAACUUUGGCACACUAUUAAAGGCUUCGUGGAUAAUUAAAGCUUCACAAAAACCU
rnacentral:lncRNA from 10 species